CCUUGUUCAAUAUGAUGGGAUUUUUAAUUGAGACCUAAUGUUAUAGGGCCGGGAAAUUCAACACUUCUUCACGUUGUUGCUGGUAGGGAUGGAUAAGAGGAUAUACUAAAUACACUAACGAAUGAUCCUAGAAAGGUAAUAUAGUCUCUCUUUCCUUCAGUUUCAAUGUUCACAGGGAACUAUAGAAAUUUGUUCUUUCACACAUGCAUUUUCCUAGAAAACUAUUCAUUAUCAUACUGGGCUUAUGUUGUGUUUGCUUGGCCUUUACAGAAUUCUUAUUUCGUGGAGUUAAUAUUAGCAUAGUGAAUUUGGACACUCACAGCUUAACUGGUCAAAUUGGAGCUCAAGUGCAGAUUGUGGCAGAUAGGGGUGGGCGUGGGUCGGUUCGGUUUGGUUCUCUUUAGAAUCGAACCGAACCAAAAUUUUCGGGUAUCUAGUAAAUGGAACCGUCGGGUCCAAAUAUAAUUAUGGAACUGUUCGGGUUUGGUUCCGUUCGAUUCUGUACUAUAAUUAAUUUUUUUAAUAUUUAUAACAACAUUAUAUAAAUACAACUAAUGAUACAUUCAAUGAUUUUGGAAUGUUAGAUACUAGUAAACUAUCUUGUUCAAAUGAUCGCUACGGUCAAAGUUUCGGUCGACGGAGGUCACAACUUCGAUCGGAGGUCACAGUGUCGACCGACGAUUAUAUUGAUUUUGGAAUAUUAGCGAGGCUGCGAGAGUGAGUACGAGAGUCGAGACAACGUUAUGCACUUUAGUGUAAGUGUUUAGGGUUAUUUAGUAGAUUGGAUCUUGUUGGGCUAAGAAAUGAAACAAUAACAUGGGUAAUUGGGUCAAAAAUUAAAAAAUUAGAAAUGAAAUAAAUUAUUGGGUCAAAAAUUUGGAUUUAGAAAUUGUUAAUUUAUUUAGUAAAAAUUAAAAUUAAAAUAAUUUGAUUUACUCAAUAUAAAAAAAAAUUAGAAAGAUUCGGUUCUUAUUCGGUUCUUGGUUUAGAACCGAGAAUCGAACCGUACCCGUCGGUUCUCAAUUCAGAUACCCGUUCGGGUAUUUAAUUUGACAAAAACCGUCGGGUUCGGUUCGAUUCGAUUUCGGUUCGAUUCGAUCGAUUCGAUUCGGGAGAUUUGCCCAGUCCUAGUGCAGAUGAUAUCUUGAUCAUCAAUCUUAAGGUAUAUAGCUUUCUGAAUGCAUAAUCUCUGCCACUCUUGAAAUUUUGUUUAUUGCCCUGUACACCAUAUGCUAUUUUCCAACUUCUCAUUCAAUUGAUUGAAGAGCCGGGACACUAUGAAUCAUUUUGCUGCUAUGAUGAGUUUACUGUUCAUUUGUGCACCCUUGUUUUCAAUCUGGUGCUCCAUCUUCUUCGCACAUCUUCACUUUCCCUUUGUCAUCUUCUCUAUUUUGAUUAAUUUCCAAAAACAAAAUCACAACCUCAAAAUCAGUUUCUCAUUCUUCUUCAGCUGGUGGGUUGCAGGUACUUCUAUUCUACAACUUUUUUCUAUUCUCAAUCAAAAUUCAAAAUUUUAAUUUUAGCAAAUCGCUCAAUUUAUUUCUGUAAUUUAUGUUUCUUGCUUUUAGUAUUUACUAUUAUUUAUACAAUCUCUAUUUAAUCGAUAAUUAUUUUGUACUGGUAAAAUGGUCUCCAUUUUGGGUUCCUUUUACCAUCCACUCUCUGCCCUUGAAACACCACACACAUUUUAAAACUUGCUCUUAUAAUAGAUUUGGGUUAUGCCCAGUUUAAUUUUCUGCUUUCUUUGUGGUAAUCAAUGGAAUCUUGAGAAGAUAUUGAAGAAGGAAAGAGACCCAG
rnacentral:lncRNA from 1 species